rnacentral:rRNA from 1 species
UACGUAGGGGGCGAGCGUUGUCCGGAGUUACUGGGCGUAAAGCGCUUGUAGGCGGUCCACCAAGUUUGGGGUGACAGUUGCCGACUUAAUCGGCAAAGUGCCUCAAAGACUGGCGGACUUGAGGGCCACAGAGGGACAUGGAACUCCAGGUGUAGUGGUGAAAUGCGUAGAUAUCUGGAAGAACACCAAAGGCGAAGGCAGUGUCCUGGGUGGUCGCUGACGCUGAGAGGCGAAAGCUAGGGGAGCAAACAGG